rnacentral:lncRNA from 1 species
UUAUCACCAAGCAUGGUCAAUCUUGUUUCACAUUCAAACUAGUUUUUUAGUUCAGUAAUCCUGAGGUUCCUUUUGCUCUAUGUUACCUUUCAUGAUCACAGGUUGUGUGAAAUAUGUGGUGAGACUGCAAAAAAUGUUUCGGAUGUUACGGAUAAUGGAUUUAUUGAAGAGUGGAAUGAUACUAGAUUCAUGGACAGUGAUAAUACCUCAUCCAGAAGGUUUGGUGGAUGCUGGCGCGGACAACCAUUUUGUAACUUCUUAAUGGCAUGCCUGGUAAUAGCUUUUGUUCUACCAUGGUUCUUCAGGGUAAA